UAUCAUAUACUGCAAACAGCUUAUUAUAUCAGUUAUUGUAUGAUUGACAUUCUGUUAUAGGUGGAUACCUAUGGAAAUUUAGAGAUAAUACAUGUCAGCAAUGAUAUAAAAUUUGUAUAUUUUAAUUAUAUUGAGUUAUUAUUUUGUUUAAUCGAAGUGUAUUUACAUUACUAUGGGACAUGAAUCACAAUAAUUCUUGUCGAUCGCAUUACAAGUGACAAUUCAUUCACGUUUUUGACCUAUUAGUUAAUCAGUAGUGUAUUGGACUAUUGAGGCAUUAACGGGUAACAGAGAAUUAGGGUUCCGUUCCGGAGAGGGAGCAUGAGAAACCGCUACUACAUCUAAGGAAGGCAGCAGGCGCGUAAAUUACCCAAUUCUGAUUAAGAGAGGUAGUGACAAGAAAUCACAAUAUUUUGCCUUAGGGUUAAAUGAUUGAAUUGAAAGUAGUGUAGAUAUGUUAUUUAUAAACUAUUGGAGGGCAAGUCUGGUGCCAGCAGCCGCGGUAAUUCCAGCUCCAGUGGUGUAUGCUAAUAUUGUUGCAGUUAAAAAGCUCGUAUUCUGAUUUUUAAGAUAAUUGGUUUUAUGUGAUCUUAUUGAACUACAAUAAAAUUAGUUUAAUCUUAUUUUUUUUUCGGUUGUAGUUGGAAUUCAUUUUCUGACUAUUUAUUAAGUGUAUAUUUACUUUUAAAAAAUAAGAGUGUUCAAAGUAGUCAUAUGGCUUUAUCCUGAAGCAUGGAAUGAUAAGGUAUGACAUUACUUAAAUUUUAAAUGUUUAAGAAGUUGAUGUAAUUAUUUAUAUAGUUUGUCGGUGGUAUUCGUAUUUUGUCGUUAGAGGUGAAAUUCUGGGAUCGACUAAAGACUACCAAAUGCGUACGCAUUUGCCUAGAAUUUUUUUCUUGAUCAAGAACGUAAAUUGAGGGAUUGAAGACGAUCAGAUACCGUCGUAGUCUCAAAUGUAAACUAUAUUAGCUAGUGGUUGAUAAUUGCUUAAUUAGCUUUGUCAGAACCUUAAGAGAAAUCAAAGUAUUUGGAUUCCGGGGGUAGUAUGGUCGCAAGACUGAAACUUAAAGGAAUUGACGGAAGGGCACCACAAGAUGUGGAUUCUGUGGCUUAAUUUGACUCAACACUGAAAACUUUACCAGGUCCAGACAUAGGUAAGAUUGACAGAUUGUUAGAUUUUUCUUGAUUAUAUGGGUGGUGGUGCAUGGCCGUUCAUAGUUGGUGGAGUGAUUUGUCUGGUUAAUUCCGUUAACGAACGAGACUACUCUCUGCUAAAUAAUAAAAUCAUGUUGAUAUAAUUUUAGCUUCUUAGAGGGAUUUGCUUUCUAUAAAUUGCUGGAAGUCUGUAGCAAUAACAGGUCUGUGAUGCCCUUAGAUGUCCUGGGCUGCGCACGGGCUACAAUAGGGUAGUAUUUGAGAUUAUUUAAUUUAGUUCGAAAAGGACUGUGAAAUCCUGAAAUUAUUCUUUAGUUGGGACCCCAAUUUGAAAUUCUUACGUGUAAACCAGGAAUACCUAGUAAGUUUAUGUCAUCAACAUGCAUUGAAUACGUCCCUGCCCUUUGUACACACCGCCCGUCGCUUCUACCGAUUGGAUGCGUUGGUGAGCAUAUUGGAGUAAUACU
rnacentral:rRNA from 1 species